UCCGUAGGUGAACCUGCGGAAGGAUCAUUAAAAAUGCGGGGGGGAGCUCCCUUGGGGGCUUUCUUUCUAUUUUUUUCUGUGCACUGUUUUUAUGGGGGGGCGCCGAUUUAUUUUGGUUCCUCUCCAGCCCUGGGCCAGUUCGUUUUUUCCUUUGGGAGAAUAUCGGCUAGCCCAGUGUCCUCUCUGCCCUAUGGGUAGGGCUGGGCAACUUAUAACUAUUCUGACUGAACCACAAAGAAAUUUGUUAACAAUAAACAACUUUCAGCAAUGGAUCUCUCGGCUUUCGUAUCGAUGAAGAACGCAGCAAAUCGCGAUAUGUAGUGUGAUCUGCCCAUAGUGAAUCAUCAAAUCUUUGAACGCAUCUUGCACCCCUGGGUAUUCCUGGGGGUACGCCUGUUUCAGUAUCAAUUUAUUCUUCCCAAGCUCAAUUGACUUGUUCUUGGGGAAACAUCACCAUUGGCCUCGAGACUGGGCUUCACCGCCCACUUCCCGGCUUAAAUUCGGCUAGUUUUUUCUAACUGGUAGUUACCUUUUUGGUAGAUUUAUCUGCUUCAAAAUUAUCCCUAUCAGCUAAAUGAAACCCCCUGGGUCUUUCGGCCCAGUCAACUCUCAUCACUUGAUCUGAAAUCAGGCGGGAUUACCCGCUGAACUUAAGCAUAUCAAUAAGCGGAGGA
rnacentral:rRNA from 1 species